rnacentral:rRNA from 1 species
CUUUAUUGAAACUUCGGUCGAUUUAAUUUAAUUCUAGUGGCGGACGGGUGAGUAACGCGUGGGUAACCUGCCUUAUACAGGGGGAUAACAGUCAGAAAUGGCUGCUAAUACCGCAUAAGCGCACAGAGCUGCAUGGCUCGGUGUGAAAAACUCCGGUGGUAUAAGAUGGACCCGCGUUGGAUUAGCUUGUUGGUGGGGUAACGGCCCACCAAGGCGACGAUCCAUAGCCGGCCUGAGAGGGUGAACGGCCACAUUGGGACUGAGACACGGCCCAGACUCCUACGGGAGGCAGCAGUGGGGAAUAUUGCACAAUGGGGGAAACCCUGAUGCAGCGACGCCGCGUGAAGGAAGAAGUAUCUCGGUAUGUAAACUUCUAUCAGCAGGGAAGAUAGUGACGGUACCUGACUAAGAAGCCCCGGCUAACUACGUGCCAGCAGCCGCGGUAAUACGUAGGGGGCAAGCGUUAUCCGGAUUUACUGGGUGUAAAGGGAGCGUAGACGGUGUGGCAAGUCUGAUGUGAAAGGCAUGGGCUCAACCUGUGGACUGCAUUGGAAACUGUCAUACUUGAGUGCCGGAGGGGUAAGCGGAAUUCCUAGUGUAGCGGUGAAAUGCGUAGAUAUUAGGAGGAACACCAGUGGCGAAGGCGGCUUACUGGAC